UACGUAGGGUGCAAGCGUUGUCCGGAAUUACUGGGCGUAAAGAGCUCGUAGGCGGUUUGUCGCGUCGGGAGUGAAAACAUCUGGCUUAACUGGGUGCUUGCUUUCGAUACGGGCAGACUGGAGGUAUGCAGGGGAGAACGGAAUUCCUGGUGUGAGCGGUGGAAUGCGCAGAGUAUCAGGAGGAACACCGGUGGCGAAGGCGG
rnacentral:rRNA from 1 species